rnacentral:tRNA from 1 species
AGUGUCUGUAGUAAAACAAUUAUGGUUGCCUUCCAAGCAAACGUUCCGAUUGAGUUCGGUAGACAUUG